rnacentral:rRNA from 1 species
UAGGGAAUCUUCCACAAUGGACGAAAGUCUGAUGGAGCAACGCCGCGUGAGUGAAGAAGGUUUUCGGAUCGUAAAGCUCUGUUGUUGGUGAAGAAGGAUAGAGGCAGUAACUGGUCUUUAUUUGACGGUAAUCAACCAGAAAGUCACGGCUAACUACGUGCCAGCAGCCGCGGUAAUACGUAGGUGGCAAGCGUUGUCCGGAUUUAUUGGGCGUAAAGCGAGCGCAGGCGGAAUGAUAAGUCUGAUGUGAAAGCCCACGGCUCAACCGUGGAACUGCAUCGGAAACUGUCAUUCUUGAGUGCAGAAGAGGAGAGUGGAACUCCAUGUGUAGCGGUGGAAUGCGUAGAUAUAUGGAAGAACACCAGUGGCGAAGGCGGCUCUCUGGUCUGCAACUGACGCUGAGGCUCGAAAGCAUGGGUAGCGAACAGGAUUAGAUACCCUGGUAGUCCAUGCCGUAAACGAUGAGCGCUAGGUGUUGGGGACUUUCCGGUCUCAGUGCCGCAGCAAACGCAUUAAGCGCUCCGCCUGGGGAGUACGACCGCAAGGUUGAAAC